rnacentral:misc_RNA from 1 species
CUUCUUCCUCUGAUAAGUUCAUAUAAUAUUUAUAGGCGCUCUGGAUCUUUUACUAGAAGCAUUAGAACUCUCAUUCCCUUUCAGAAGAAUGGCUAUCAAGGAGUAUGUGCAGACUUCACGUCUGGAUCAGUGUGCUCUUAAAUCCGCAACUACAGAAAAAUAUGUGACUCUUGAAAUCCCUUCAGCUCUUAUCUCUUCAUGGAGAAGACAGGGAUAUUCUCAUCUCCAUCCCUCUUCACCUUGUGGUCACCCUCCAUGGCAGACGAGCUCUCCUAGUGACAGCCAGAUUGUCCUUAUUGGAUAUCAGGUUCCUCAAUUAUGAACAUGCUGUGAUUGGUACCUGUAUAACCACUCUCUACACUGAAAGUGUGGUUCUUACUUUCUUCCCCAACGACAACAUGUCUCUUCAAGACCCUAAUCUUCCCACGACACUAAAAGUUCAAGUCCAGCUUAUUGGGGCAGAACAAACUGUCUUCUCUAUAGCAGCUACCUUACACCACCAUAUAACUUAUAGGCUUCAAGAUCAAGUCAUAGAUUUAUCUCAGUCAGGA